GAUGAACGCUGGCGGCGUGCCUAAUACAUGCAAGUCGAGCGAACGGACGAGAAGCUUGCUUCUCUGAUGUUAGCGGCGGACGGGUGAGUAACACGUGGAUAACCUACCUAUAAGACUGGGAUAACUUCGGGAAACCGGAGCUAAUACCGGACGACAUUUUGAACCGCAUGGUUCAAAAGUGAAAGACGGUCUUGCUGUCACUUAUAGAUGGAUCCGCGCUGCAUUAGCUAGUUGGUAAGGUAACGGCUUACCAAGGCAACGAUGCAUAGCCGACCUGAGAGGGUGAUCGGCCACACUGGAACUGAGACACGGUCCAGACUCCUACGGGAGGCAGCAGUAGGGAAUCUUCCGCAAUGGGCGAAAGCCUGACGGAGCAACGCCGCGUGAGUGAUGAAGGUCUUCGGAUCGUAAAACUCUGUUAUUAGGGAAGAACAUAUGUGUAAGUAACUGUGCACAUCUUGACGGUACCUAAUCAGAAAGCCACGGCUAACUACGUG
rnacentral:rRNA from 1 species